rnacentral:tRNA from 1 species
GCCUGGGUGGCUCAGUCGGUUAAGUGUCCGACUUUGGCUCAGGUCAUGAUCUCGUGGUUCGUGGGUUCGAACCCCGCAUCGGGCU